rnacentral:rRNA from 2 species
UGGGGGAUAUUGGACAAUGGGGGCAACCCUGAUCCAGCGACGCCGCGUGAGGGAAGAAGGUUUUCGGAUUGUAAACCUCUGUUGACGGAGAAAAAAAUGAUGGUAUCCGUUUAGAAAGCCACGGCUAACUACGUGCCAGCAGCCGCGGUAAUACGUAGGUGGCAAGCGUUGUCCGGAAUUACUGGGUGUAAAGGGAGUGUAGGCGGGAUAUCAAGUCAGAAGUGAAAAUUACGGGCUCAACUCGUAACCUGCUUUUGAAACUGACAUUCUUGAGUGAAGUAGAGGCAAGCGGAAUUCCUAGUGUAGCGGUGAAAUGCGUAGAUAUUAGGAGGAACACCAGUGGCGAAGGCGGCUUGCUGGGCUUUUACUGACGCUGAGGCUCGAAAGCGUGGGGAGCAAACAGGAUUAGAUACCCUGGUAGUCCACGCCGUAAACGAUGAUUACUAGGUGUGGGGGGAUUGACCCCUUCCGUGCCGGAGUAAACACAAUAAGUAAUCCACCUGGGGAGUACGACCGCAAGGUUGAAACUCAAAGGAAUUGACGGGGGCCCGCACAAGCAGUGGAGUAUGUGGUUUAAUUCGACGCAACGCGAAGAACCUUACCAGGUCUUGACAUCAAGUGACCGCCUAAGAGAUUAGGUUUUCCCUUCGGGGACACAAAGACAGGUGGUGCAUGGUUGUCGUCAGCUCGUGUCGUGAGAUGUUGGGUUAAGUCCCGCAACGAGCGCAACCCUUAUCAUUAGUUGCUACGCAAGAGCACUCUAAUGAGACUGCCGUUGACAAAACGGAGGAAGGUGGGGAUGACGUCAAAUCAUCAUGCCCUUUAUGACCUGGGCUACACACGUACUACAAUGGCGUUUAACAAAGAGAAGCAAAGCCGCGAGGCAGAGCAAAUCUCCAAAAAACGUCUCAGUUCGGAUUGUAGGCUGCAACUCGCCUACAUGAAGUCGGAAUUGCUAGUAAUCGUAGGUCAGCAUACUACGGUGAAUACGUUCCC